UAACCCAAACAAUUUAUAUGUGUAGUAGAGGUUUAAAAAUCCUUGGAUUUUGCACAGAGGAAGAAAAUCGAAGAGGAGAGUAGAGGGCGUGGUCACUUCGUCUGAGUCGGAAGGGCUUCUCAUAGUGGUCGGUGUUGUCGGCGGUGACUUCGUCUGAGCAAGGAAGGUGUGACCACAGGCGAGGAGGGCUGGUGCUUCACGGGAGUGAGUGCUUCGUUGGUUUUGCUGAUUUAUGAGAACACCACAUCUAUAAAUUGAAGUUCUUGCAAAAUUAUACACAAAUAAAUGAGGUCGUGAGGCAUGGUUAUAUGAAACUUGAGGUUCUAGAUGUUGCUGAAGCUUCUGAAAAACAAACUCUUUCUGCCACUUCCAAAGCUACAUCAAGAGUGGUUUCUAACAGGUAUUCAAACAUCCAGUGAUGCAAACACUUUGCCAUCUCUGUUAAAAUACCUGAAUUCACCAACAAGAACAAAAUAGUGGUCCUCCAACAUUCUGUAAAAUUUGAAAAGGAGAUUGAGUGUGGUGGAGGUUACAUCAAGCUUCUCUAUGGAUUUGUUAAUCAAAAGAAGUUUGGUGGGGAUACACCUUAUAUGUUUAAGAUGACAUCAUUGCUUUUACUGGAUCGGGAUUGAAUUAAAACAAUCUAAUCUUUCAUGAAAAAGCAUAUCAUUGUACAGUCUAAACAAUUUGGUGAGCUGAAAGAUCAAGUAACAAUGGAGCAGAUUUUACAGGUUGUUUUUAUGGAUUCAGAGCCUAGUAGCCAUCCCUAAUACCUCACAUGUUGGACUUGGAUAGACCUUUAGUUUUUUCAUGUGAAGUGAUUUUUGCCUCAACCAAUGGUUUCUCUGAUUCAAAUCUACUUGGGCACAGAGCACAUGGUAAUGAAACUUGAAUAUGACUGGCUUGUCAACCUGUUGUUGGAAACGAAGAAAACUCUGACAAAGUUGUUGUUCGAAGGAUUCUCAGUGGAAGAAGUAAUAGACCAUACCAAGCAGGAUUUCCAUGUGUUCCUCGAUUUAACAAGGUGAGAAGCACCAAUAUAAAGAUUUAACAGGGUUAGAAGCACAAGUUCAAAUAAGUGAUGGUUGCAUCAUAAAUUUGUUAAAACAUUUGGUUUGGUUCUUAAUGUAAGCUGACAGAUAACUAUAAUGUAUAAUUUCCUUUCAUGUUUUUUACUA